UUUUGUCUUCCAUCAUGAGUGCCCCCAAAUUUCCUUCCCCCUCAUUUCAGGCAACCUUCCAUAGGCCUACAUCAGAUUCCUUGCAAGUCAAUUUGUCAGGAGCUUUAAGAACUAAAGUUGACAGUAAUGGCGCAAAUAUAAUGGUGGCUUUGUAUGAGAGUGGAUUGGUGACUGACUGCCCAAAGGGAGAGAACAAAGGGCGUAUGUUGUCUAACGACUACGUUGUUCGAAAGCUCGAAAAGCUCUGCACGGUCAAGGACAUCUCUGCCAAGAAGACAGUUUCAGGAACUGUUAAUUUUUCCUUGUGGGA
rnacentral:misc_RNA from 1 species